rnacentral:rRNA from 1 species
AAACUGAGGCUAAUACCGGAUAGGCAAUUUUUCCUGUAAUGGUUUUUUGUUUAAAUGUUUUUUCGCCUAAGGAUGGGUCUGCGGCCGAUUAGGUAGUUGGUUAGGUAAUGGCUUACCAAGCCGUUGAUCGGUACGGGUUGUGAGAGCAAGAGCCCGGAGAUGGAACCUGAGACAAGGUUCCAGGCCCUACGGGGUGCAGCAGGCGCGAAACCUCCGCAAUGUGAGAAAUCGCGACGGGGGGAUCCCAAGUGCCAUUCUUAACGGGAUGGCUUUUCAUUAGUGUAAAGAGCUUUUGGAAUAAGAGCUGGGCAAGACCGGUGCCAGCCGCCGCGGUAACACCGGCAGCUCUAGUGGUAGCAAUUUUUAUUGGGCCUAAAGCGUCCGUAGCCGGUUUAAUAAGUCUCUGGUGAAAUCCUGUAGCUUAACUGUGGGAAUUGCUGGAGAUACUAUUAGACUUGAGACCGGGAGAGGUUGGAGGUACUCCCAGGGUAGAGGUGAAAUUCUGUAAUCCUGGGAGGACCGCCUGUUGCGAAGGCGUCUAACUGGAACGGUUCUGACGGUGAGGGACGAAAGUUAGGGGCGCGAACCGGAUUAGAUACCCGGGUAGUCCUAACUGUAAACGAUGCGGACUUGGUGUUGGGGUGGCUUUGAGCUGCUCCAGUGCCGAAGGGAAGCUGUUAAGUCCGCCGCCUGGGAAGUACGGUCGCAAGACUGAAACUUAA